rnacentral:rRNA from 1 species
CCUACGGGAGGCAGCAGUAAGGAAUAUUGGUCAAUGGGGGCAACCCUGAACCAGCCAUGCCGCGUGCAGGAAGACGGCCCUACGGGUUGUAAACUGCUUUUAUACGGGAAUAAACCUCUCUUCGUGAAGAGAGCUGAAUGUACUGUAAGAAUAAGGAUCGGCUAACUCCGUGCCAGCAGCCGCGGUAAUACGGAGGAUCCAAGCGUUAUCCGGAUUUAUUGGGUUUAAAGGGUGCGUAGGCGGCCUAUUAAGUCAGGGGUGAAAGACGGUGGCUCAACCAUCGCAGUGCCCUUGAUACUGAUGGGCUUGAUUACACUUGAGGUAGGCGGAAUGUGACAAGUAGCGGUGAAAUGCAUAGAUAUGUCACAGAACACCAAUUGCGAAGGCAGCUUACUAAGGUGUUAAUGACGCUGAGGCACGAAAGCGUGGGGAUCAAACAGGAUUAGAUACCCUGGUAGUCCACGCCCUAAACGAUGAAUACUCGAUGUUAGCGAUAUACAGUUAGCGUCAAAGCGAAAGCGUUAAGAUUCCACCUGGGGAGGUACGCCGCGAGGAGAACGACAAUAGAGUAGACGGCGUGAGACGUAGACCGACGGACGACGACGAGGGAGGAGG